UACAGAGGGUGCGAGCGUUGUCCGGAAUCACUGGGCGUAAAGGGCGCGUAGGCGGCCUGAUAAGUAGGGGGUGAAAUCCUGUGGCUUAACUGCAGGGCUGCCUCCUAGACUGUUAGGCUCGAGCACGGUAGAGGCAGAUGGAAUUCCCGGUGUCGCGGUGGAAUGCGUAGAGAUCGGGAAGAACAUCGGUGGCGAAGGCGGUCUGCUGGGCCGUUGCUGACGCUGAGGCGCGACAGCGUGGGGAGCAAACAGG
rnacentral:rRNA from 1 species